rnacentral:rRNA from 1 species
UACGUAGGUGGCAAGCGUUGUCCGGAAUUAUUGGGCGUAAAGCGCGCGCAGGCGGUCCUUUAAGUCUGCUGUGAAAGCCCACGGCUCAACCGUGGAGGGUCAUUGGAAACUGGGGGACUUGAGUGCAGGAGAGAAGAGUGGAAUUCCACGUGUAGCGGUGAAAUGCGUAGAGAUGUGGAGGAACACCAGUGGCGAAGGCGACUCUUUGGCCUGUAACUGACGCUGAGGCGCGAAAGCGUGGGGAGCAAACAGG